rnacentral:rRNA from 1 species
UACGUAGGCAGCGAGCGUUUGUUCGGAGUUACUGGGCGUAAAGGGUGUGUAGGCGGUUUUCUAAGUUUGGUGUGAAAUCUCCCGGCUCAACCGGGAGGGUGCGCCGAAAACUGGGAGACUAGAGUGCGGGAUGGGAGAGUAGAAUUCCUGGUGUAGCGGUGAAAUGCGUAGAUAUCAGGAGGAAUACCGGUGGUGUAGACGGCUCUCUGGACCGCCACUGACGCUGAGACAACGGAAACGUGGGUAGCAAACAGG